rnacentral:rRNA from 1 species
GACGAACGCUGGCGGCGUGCCUAAUACAUGCAAGUUGAGCGCUGAAGGUUGGUACUUGUACCCACUGGAUGAGCAGCGAACGGGUGAGUAACGCGUGGGGAAUCUGCCUUUGAGCGGGGGACAACAUUUGGAAACGAAUGCUAAUACCGCAUAAAAACUUUAAACACAAGUUUUAAGUUUGAAAGAUGCAAUUGCAUCACUCAAAGAUGAUCCCGCGUUGUAUUAGCUAGUUGGUGAGGUAAAGGCUCACCAAGGCGAUGAUACAUAGCCGACCUGAGAGGGUGAUCGGCCACAUUGGGACUGAGACACGGCCCAAACUCCUACGGGAGGCAGCAGUAGGGAAUCUUCGGCAAUAGACGAAAGUCUGACCGAGCAACGCCGCGUGAGUGAAGAAGGUUUUCGGAUCGUAAAACUCUGUUGGUAGAGAAGACCGUUGGUGAGAGUGGAAAGCUCAUCAAGUGACGGUAACUACCCAGAAAGGGACGGCUAACUACGUG